UUCCAGUUUGGAUCUGUUCGGAUAAACAGACAUACUGGAUAAACAUUGUGUACACUACGGUAGCGCUUUCAUACUGUCGCACUGACCUGUGUACUUUCGCUCGGGGCAUUAUGGGUAAGAACUAUUUUCAACAUGGAGUCGUAAACAAGGAAGUGAAAGUGUGCUUUGCAUUUUUAGUUGAAUAUUCACCAUUGUUGUUUCCAGAGACUAAUUUCCAAAGUAUCAGUUCGAUGUAGUCCAGUAAGGCUAAAUGUACAGUCUAGUCAGAAAUGGUCCAGACUCAAAAGGCUAAUUACCAGAUGCACACUUUGUUUUCUUGUAUUGUAUUCUUGUUUUGUUAAUUGAUAUUUUUUCUAUACAAAUUUGAAUAAACAGUUGAUAAUUAGUACGAGUUUAUAUGAUAUCGGAAUAGUAAAAAUCUUA
rnacentral:lncRNA from 1 species